UGGGGAAUAUUGCACAAUGGGCGCAAGCCUGAUGCAGCCAUGCCGCGUGUGUGAAGAAGGCCUUCGGGUUGUAAAGCACUUUCAGCGGGGAGGAAGGCGUUAAGGUUAAUAACCUUGGCGAUUGACGUUACCCGCAGAAGAAGCACCGGCUAACUCCGUGCCAGCAGCCGCGGUAAUACGGAGGGUACAAGCGUUAAUCGGAAUUACUGGGCGUAAAGCGCACGCAGGCGGUCUGUCAAGUCGGAUGUGAAAUCCCCGGGCUCAACCUGGGAACUGCAUUCGAAACUGGCAGGCUAGAGUCUUGUAGAGGGGGGUAGAAUUCCAGGUGUAGCGGUGAAAUGCGUAGAGAUCUGGAGGAAUACCGGUGGCGAAGGCGGCCCCCUGGACAAAGACUGACGCUCAGGUGCGAAAGCGUGGGGAGCAAACAGG
rnacentral:rRNA from 1 species